GUAAGUGUCAUAUUUGUAGAGUGACUACUUCAGUUUCUGUCAGAUUCUCUAUCAGCAAUCUGUAUGAUGGGAAAUAUUUUCUCAUAAUGGUAUUAGUAUAUACAAGUUGGAAAACCUACUGCUUAUAUAAUUGCUCUUUUUUUGAGUGAAGACUUCCUAUUUACACUUGAAAUAAGACGGCUUUCAUGAAUCCACAUGUCCUGGAUCGAACCCAUUUAUGCUGAAUGUGGUGAAACUCUCGCUAAAAAUGACUACUUGUUUUGGAAAUGGAAAAAGCAAGUUCUCCUUAAGCUAUACGGAGGCAAUACGUAAUUACCUGGAAACAUCUAUCAAAGCAAAAGCAAUAUUUCCAGCUGUUUCUCAACACAAGAAUAAGGCUUGGAAAGUUUCCUCAUUGAUUCCGAAGCU